rnacentral:rRNA from 1 species
GACGAACGCUGGCGGCGUGCUUAACACAUGCAAGUCGAACGGAAAGGCCCCUUUGGGGGUACUCGAGUGGCGAACGGGUGAGUAACACGUGAGUAACCUGCCCUUGACUUCGGGAUAACUUCAGGAAACUGGGGCUAAUACCGGAUAGGAAUCCUUGCUGCAUGGUGGGGGUUGGAAAGCUUCGGCGGUUUUGGAUGGACUCGCGGCUUUUCAGCUUGUUGGUGGGGUAGUGGCUUACCAAGGCUUUGACGGGUAGCCGGCCUGAGAGGGCGACCGGCCACAUUGGGACUGAGAUACGGCCCAGACUCCUACGGGAGGCAGCAGUGGGGAAUAUUGCACAAUGGGCGGAAGCCUGAUGCAGCAACGCCGCGUGCGGGAUGACGGCCUUCGGGUUGUAAACCGCUUUCAGCAGGGGCGAAGCUUGUGGUGACGGUACCUGCAGAAGAAGCACCGGCUAACUACGUG